AUUGCUGUGGUAAAACACCAUUACCUAAAGCAACACGGGAAGAAAAGGGUUUAUUUUGAUUUACAGCUCUUGGGUCACAUUCCAUCACCGAUGGAACUCAAGGCAGAAAUCAGGAUUCAGGAACUGAAGCAGAGGCCAUCGAGGAUCGUUGCUUACUGGCUUGCCUCUCAUGAUUUGCUUAGCCCUACAUGCUUAAAGAACCUAGGACUGCCUGCCCGGGACUGACACCACACAGUGAGCUGACCCCUCCCACGUUAAUAACUAAGAAAAUGCUCUAUACUCUUGCCUGCAGGCAUUCUUUGGAGGCAAUUUCUCAGCUGAGGUUUCUCUUCCCAGAUAACUCUACUUGUCUCAAGCGUUCAGGAAAAACCAACCAAGGCAGCUUCCUAGCUAAAAGGCUUUGCUGCAGUACAGGUCCUGUAUCACCAAGUUCAGAAAACACAGAGGAAAGGACCAUUAGAUUGAAGUCUUUGAACUAAAAUGAAUCUUUGUUUCUGUCCAGUAUUUUGUCAUAAUAGCAAAGAGACAACUUAGCAUAGACAACCUGUUACAAGAAGUAAGGUCUUUCUGUGACUGUAUAACCACAUAGUUGAGAAGCCUCUGAAGUGGUUUGUGGGAAAAGUUUGGAAAAAUUAAGGCACACCUUAACUGUUACAUGAAGAGAGCUUAGAAAGCCAAAUUCUGGUAGAAGUGUUGAGCUAAAAGCUGAGUUGAGGUUCUAGGAAUGGCUGUCAAAGAUGCAUAAGGAUCUCAGUUUGGAUGCCUAGCAUUUACGUUUUUAAAAAGCUACACACGAUGGAACACACCUGUAAUUCCAGUGCUUGAGCAGUGUGAAAUAUCUGUGAAGGAGAGCUGUAAGCAGCAGGCGGUCAGCACAGGAGAGAGGUCACCUGACCUGCCAAUAACAACCUGUAUCAUUCAACCGCACGCUCCAAUACUGAACAUGAAGGUACAGAAUUUGUUUUUUUUUUUUUAAGGUUUUUAGUAUCUUUCUGUAGUUUGUGUAUAGGGAAGUAGGCUUGGAUUGGAGAUCAGAAGAUAACUUGUAAGAGAUAUUUUUUCUGCUAUGUGUGUCCUGUGAAUUGGACCCAGGCUGUGAGCUUCUGUGACAGGUGUCUUUACCCACUAAGCCACUUGUUAACCUGGGGCUAGAGAAUUUAAUAUUUGACCUCCGUUGUAGUCUUGAUAUUGUGGGGAUGUUCCCUCAAUGUCACUGUAUGUGGGAAUCACUUAGCUACCUUUGUAAAUUUUGCAGGUGUAUAGAUACACUAGCUUGCUUUGAUUGUUCAGAGGAGGCUUUGUACUUGCACUUCUGAGCAGUAAUGGAAUUGCUAUGACUCUGGGUACUCCUGAAGCUUAGCCUAAUACAUUAUGGAUGGACUAAGGACUUUGGCAGCAGAACAUGGUUUUUGAUAUCAGGUUGACUUAAGAUGCCUAACCUUGAUGUCAACUGAACUGGAUUAAGAGAUUAGUGAAGUUCACCCCGUGUGUCUGCAAAUCAGUUUCCAGAGUGUAUUGUCUGAGGUGGGGGAGGGGAGCACCUUGAAUGUGAAUGACAUUAUCUAAUGGGGUGGGAACCCAGACGGAAUAAAAUGGAAAGGAGGAACUCACCAGCACACUAUAUUCUCUUGGUUCCCGGGCUGUUGAGGGCUGAGAAGUUCUCUUGCACUAUGCCCUUCUGCCAUGAUGUACUGUCUCAGUAAAGCAACAGAGAAAUGAGUCAGGGACUGUGAAUAGAGACCUCUGCAACUGUGAGCCAAAAUAAUUCCUUCCCUUUGAGUUGUUUGUGCCGGGUAUUAGUCAUGGUGAAGAAAAUUCUCCUUAACACAGUAAGCUUGGAUACAUUUGUUUUAAAAAUCUUUUGAAUGCCCCGAGACACUGACUUUCUGUUAUGUCUACCCUGGAGAACUUCAGUUCCUGUUUCCUUCCAGUCAUCAAAUGUGAAGAGAUCCUACUACAUACUAGAUGAUCAGCAAUUGUUGGCAUGGGACUCUGAUGAAAACUGAGAACUGAAGAUUCUGAUAAAGAUGCUCAUUUCCAAUCUGCAGAUGUUUUUCGAUGCUAAAUGCUUCAGCAUUUGGAUUUUACAGCAUCUGGAAAUGUUCUUUAAGAAAGGACUCUGUGUCCAAACCAUGAAGCUGAGUCCUAAGGGGAUCAAAGUGAGCUGGGAGGAGUGCCUCAGAUGGGCAGGCAGCAUCAACUUUCAGACUACAAUGCAGUCUAAAAUGGAGGCGGUUAAAGGUAAAGUUAGCCUAAGUCCUAGCCAAUUGACAACCGUAGGUUUCUGGAAGAGAGAGCGAGAGGUUCGAUAGAUUAGCAACGAGUCUAGAGGAAUGGUAAUGGAUUAGACAGAAUGGCUAAAAGGGACAGCAAGGAAGAACAAGGGGAACCCUGGGACUAUAACAUGAGGUCGAAUCUCAUGGUUGAAGACCUCUUUAAUCAUUCAGUAGUAUUUGGCACAGAUUCCUGGGCUAAAAUAUAUGCUAUGGUUCUGUAGUCUGACUGGUAAGAGUCA
rnacentral:sRNA from 1 species